AUAGAAUAAGAAGCAGCUGGUGUCGCCGCAAGGCGGAGAAUAGGGAAACAGGUGAAAGACCCGUGCGAUCUCGUCACUGUAAACAGGAGUGUAUUGCUUAUUAUGUCACUGAGAUAUCGGGAAGGCAGCAAUGUGCGUUAAAACUGUAAGCCAGGAGACCUGCCAGACUGUGGUGCGGGGAA
rnacentral:ncRNA from 18 species